GUGUAGCUGAUUGUCAGGUGAGUUCAGACGGGUGAGUUCAGACAGGUGAGUUAAGACAGGUGUAGCUGAUAGUCAGGUGAGUUCAGACAGGUGAGAUCAGACAGGUGGGUUAAGACAGAUGUAGCUGAUUGUCAGGUGAGGUCAGACAGGUGUAGCUGAUUGUCAGGUGAGUUCAGACGGGUGAGUUCAGACAGGUGAGUUAAGACAGGUGUAGCUGAUAGUCAGGUGAGUUCAGACAGGUGAGAUCAGACAGGUGGGUUAAGACAGAUGUAGCUGAUUGUCAGGUGAGGUCAGACAGGUGUAGCUGAUUGUCAGGUGAGUUCAGACGGGUGAGUUCAGACAGGUGAGUUAAGACAGGUGUAGCUGAUUGUCAGGUGAGUUCAGACAGGUGAGUUCAGACAGGUGAGUUAAGACAGGUGUAGCUGAUUGUCAGGUGAGUUCAGACAGGUGAGUUCAGACAGGUGAGUUAAGACAGGUGCAGCUGAUAGUCAGGUGAGUUCAGACAGGUGAGUUAAGACAGGUGCAGCUGAUUGUCAGGUGAGUUCAGACAGGUGAGGUCAUACAGGUGAGGUCAGACAGGUGAGUUCAGACAGGUGAGUUAAGACAGGUGUAGCUGAUUGUCAGGUGAGUUCAGACAGGUGAGGUCAUACAGGUGAGGUCAGACAGGUGUAGCUGAUUGUCAGGUGAGGUCAGACAGGUGUAGCUGGUUGGUCUCUUGUGUCUCAGGUAUAUCAGUGUGAAUAUUUGGCAGUUGUAUCUGUUUGCGGUGUUUUAUUACGAUGGUCAGUGUCAGUUGUUGAUCAGUGUUAAAUAUCAGGUGAACUUGGUGGCGGUGAUGCGUUAUCACAUCAUAAAGGUAUUAAUCAGUAUUGACAGGUUAUUGAUCACCUG